GAUGAACGCUGGCGGCGUGCCUAAUACAUGCAAGUCGAGCGAACGGACGAGAAGCUUGCUUCUCUGAUGUUAGCGGCGGACGGGUGAGUAACACGUGGAUAACCUACCUAUAAGACUGGGAUAACUUCGGGAAACCGGAGCUAAUACCGGAUAAUAUCUUGAACCGCAUGGUUCAAAAGUAAAAGACGGUCUUGCUGUCACUUAUAGAUGGAUCCGCGCUGCAUUAGCUAGUUGGUAAGGUAACGGCUUACCAAGGCAACGAUGCAUAGCCGACGUGCGAGAGGGAUCGGCCACCCUAGAACUUGGACGGGGACCAGACUCCUGCGGGAGGCAGCAGAAUGGUAUCUGACGCAAUAGGCGGAAGCAUUGCAGAGCAAGCGGACGUGAGUGGUAGAAAUCUUGGGUUCGGAAUACUCUGUUAUUAGGGGAGAACAUAUGUGUAAGUAACUGUGCACAUAUUGACGGUACCUAGUCAGAAAGCCACGGCUAACUACGUG
rnacentral:rRNA from 1 species